ACGAACGCUGGCGGCAUGCCUAACACAUGCCAGUCGAACGAGACCUUCGGGUCUAGUGGCGCACGGGUGCGUAACGCGUGGGAACCUGCCCUUAGGUUCGGAAUAACUCCCCGCAAGGGGUGCUAAUACCGGAUAAUGUCUUCGGACCAAAGAUUUAUCGCCUUUGGAUGGGCCCGCGUUGGAUUAGCUAGUUGGUAGGGUAAAAGCCUACCAAGGCGACGAUCCAUAGCUGGUCUGAGAGGAUGAUCAGCCACACUGGGACUGAGACACGGCCCAGACUCCUGCGGGAGGCAGCAGGGGGGAAUGUUGGAAAAGGGGGGAAAGCCUAAUCCAGCAAUGCCGGGGGGGUGAUAAAGGCCUUGGGGUUGUAAAGCUCUUUUACCCGGGAUGAUAAUGACAGUACCGGGAGAAAAAGCCCCGGCGAACCCCGU
rnacentral:rRNA from 1 species